GAACGCCGUAUGAGGUGAAAGUCUCACGUACGGUGUGGAGCAGGGGAAAAAGCCGAGAUAAUAUCAGAACUUUACCUAUUGCUAU
rnacentral:ncRNA from 2 species